ensembl:processed_transcript
GGGGCUGUCUGGUAUGGCCAUUGCAGACAUUACCCUCCUGAGUGGAUUCCACGUCCUGAGGGCCGACCUGGAGAAGCUGACCUCCCUCUCUGACCGUUAUGUGAGUCACUUUGAGACCGACGGGCCCCAUGUCCUGCUGUACUUUGACUCGAUCACAAGUGCUCUGUGUUUUAUGCUGCACCGACCAAGAGCCCGCUCCUGGCCACACUGUGCUCUGGAGAUGUAUGCCAGUGCGCCGAGGGGAAGUGCCCUCGACUGCUAAGGUCACUGGAGCGAGGGGUGGAGGACAAGGACGGCUACCGGAUGAGGUUCGCCUGCUAUUAUCCCCGAGUGGAGUAUGGCUUCACGGUUAAG